GAUGAACGCUGGCGGCGUGCCUAAUACAUGCAAGUCGAGCGAAUGGAUUAAGAGCUUGCUCUUAUGAAGUUAGCGGCGGACGGGUGAGUAACACGUGGGUAACCUGCCCAUAAGACUGGGAUAACUCCGGGAAACCGGGGCUAAUACCGGAUAAUAUUUUGAACUGCAUGGUUCAAAAUUGAAAGGCGGCUUCGGCUGUCACUUAUGGAUGGACCCGCGUCGCAUUAGCUAGUUGGGGAGGUAACGGCUCACCAAGGCAACGAUGCGUAGCCGGCCUGAGAGGGUGAUCGGCCACACUGGGACUGAGAAACGGCCCAGACUCCUACGGGAGGCAGCAGUAGGGAAGCUUCCGCAAUGGACGAAAGUCUGACGGAGCAACGCCGCGUGAGUGAUGAAGGCUUUCGGGUCGUAAAACUCUGUUGUUAGGGAAGAACAAGUGCUAGUUGAAUAAGCUGGCACCUUGACGGUACCUAACCAGAAAGCCACGGCUAACUACGUGCCAGCAGCCGCGGUAA
rnacentral:rRNA from 1 species